GACAGAGGUGCCGAGCGUUAGGCGGAAUCACUGGGCUUAAAACGUGUGUAGGCGGGCCGUUAAGUGCCCCGUGAAAUCCCCCGGCUCAACCGGGGAACGGCGGGGCAUACUGGCGGCCUUGAGACACCUAGGGGCGAGCGGAACAGGCGGUGGAGCGGUGAAAUGCGUAGAUAUCGCCUGGAACGCCGACGGUGAAAACAGCUCGCUGGGGGUGUUCUGACGCUGAGACACGAAAGCCAGGGGAGCGAACGGG
rnacentral:rRNA from 1 species